rnacentral:lncRNA from 1 species
UUCUUUUCUCUUUUUUUUGAGAGAGAGAGAUAGGUAGCACGCUAUCCGCUUCGUUUAUUUCAUUUAAAAAUAAACUUAGCUAGAAAUGUGAAUCAACUAAGAUUCGAACUUGGGUCUCGAAUACCAACUACUAAGCCCUUUGCUACUUGCUCUAGGGACGGGUACCAACCACCAAGUACCUCGAUUCUUGUUAUUAUGAUUAUUCAUGUGAUGCUUCCUUCAUGCAUGUAUCUAUUAGGGGGUGUUUGGUCUAACUUUUUGAAAAGUGAUUUUGGGUAUAAAAGUAAUUUUUGACUCAAUAAAGCAUUUGACAAUUUCAUUUUCAAAAUCUGAUUUUAAUUUUUAGAAUCAAUUUUCUAAUUUUCGAAGCCCAAAAUCAGAAGCAAUUAAAACUUGCUUCUUAAAAUUUGAUUAUAAUUUUGGACUCAAAUUUUAACUUUUUUCUAAAUUUUCGAUUCAAAGUUUAAAAUUAAAUUUGAUUUUAAAUAUUAAAUAUUUAAUUUAUUUUUGAAUUUUUAUAUUAAAUUUUAAAUUUUAAAUUUUAAUUUCAAAUCUCAAAUUUUAAAUUUUAAAUUUUAAGAUAAAAUUUUAAAUUUUAAAUUUUAGAAAUUAAAAUUUAAUUAAAAAUUUAAAAUUUAAAAUUAUAUGAUUUAAUUUUUCAAAUUACAAAUUUCAAAUUUUUAAAAUUCAAAUUUUAAUUUUUAAAUUAUUAAAUUUAAAUUUUAUUUUUAAAUUUUUAAAUUCAAAAUUUAAAAUUUAAAUUUUAUAUUUCAAAUUUCAAAUUUUUACUUUUUAUAAUUUUGAAAUAUUAAUUUUGAAAUGUCAAAAUUUUACAUUAUUUUUUAAAUUAAAAUAUCAAAUCUUAAAUUUUGUACAAAUUUAAAAUUUUAAUUAAAAUUUUAAAUAAUUUUAAAAUAAAAUUUAAUUAAAAUAUUAUUAUAUACAAUCAUCAAAAUAUUUUUACCAAACAGUUUUACAAAAAAAUCAUUUGAGAAAAAUCACUUUUAUCUAAACUCAGCCAAACACUUUACAAUUCUUAACCCAAACCACUUUUGCAAAACAAAAUCAAUUAUGAAAAAAUCACUUUUUCAGAAUUAAUGAUGGAUGACAU